CAGGGAUGGUGACUGAACCAGCUCCCUGGGUGGAAUAGGGAGCCCAUCAGGUCUCCCCUCAGCCUCCUUUUCCCCACACUAAACAGCCCCAGUUCCUUCAGUCACUCCUCAGAGGGCAUAUUGGCCAAGGCCUUCCCCAGCCUUGUUGCCCUUCUUUCAACCUGCUUCAGCACCUCAACGGCCCUUCUGUGCUGAGGUGCCCAAAACUGAACACUGCACUCGAGGUGAGGCCUCGCCAGUGCCGAGUCCAGGGGCAGGAUGACUUCCCUAGUCCUGCUCACCACACCGUUCCUGAGCCAGGAAUGGUGCUUAUGCCAUUGGCCUUCUUGGCCACCUGGGCACACUGCUGGCUCAUCUUCAGCCACCUGUCCGUCAGCACACCAAGGUCCCUUUCAGGGCUCAGGCAGCUUUCCAGCCACUCCUCCCCAAGGAGGACUGGGGGGACGCCUGGGCUUGUUGUGACCAAAAUGCAGGACCCGACACUCGGCCCCAUUGAAACUCAUCCAGUUAAGCUGGCAGAGUGAAGAGAGAACAAAAACCAAGCAGGCAAAGAGCAGAGCUGUCCAGAGGGGGCAGGGCUUGGGGCAGGGCCUGUGCCGGAGGGUGGUCCAGCAGAGUGGUGGCCUCGGGGCCCAGGCUGGAGGGGGCCUGGCACAGUUGAGGCCUGGUGUGGGCCCAGAAGGAAGGGGGCCCAGGCACAGGUAGAGCCUCGGGGCCCAGGCUGGAGGAGAACCAGGCUCAGUUGGGGCUGUGUUGGGGCCCAGGAUGGAGGAGGACCGGGCACAGUUGGGGCUGCUUUGGGGCCCGAGCUGGAAAGGUGCCUGGCACAGUUGGGGCUGCUUUGGGGCCUGGGCUGGAGGGGGGCCUGGCACAGUUGAGGCCUGCUCUUGGCCCAGACCAGAGGGAGCCCCGGCACUGCCCAGGCUUUGGGGCCUAGGAUGGAGGAGGAGCAGGCACAGUUGGGGUUGCUUUGGGGCCCAGGAUGGAGGAGGAGCAGGCACAGUUGGGGCUGCUUUGGGGCCCGAGCUGGAAAGGUGCCUGGCACAGUUGGGGCUGCUUUGGGGCCUGGGCUGGAGGGGGGCCUGGCACAGUUGAGGCCUGCUCUUGGCCCAGGCCAAAGGGAGCCCCGGCACAGCCAGGCUCUUGGUGCCCAGGAUGAAGCAGGACCAGGCACAGUUGGGGCUGCUUUGGGGCCCAGGAUGGAGGAGGACCGGGCACAGUUGGGGCUGCUUUGGGGCCCAGGAUGGAGGAGACCCAGGCACAGUUGGGGCUUCUUUGGGGCCCAGGCUGGUGGGAGGCCCGGCACAGCCAGAGCCUUGUGGCUGCACUCUCUCUGUACAGUUCUGUGCUCCACAGCAGAAUGUGUUUUAAUGAAUCCUGUGGAAGCCUGUGAAAUCCAAGAAUCCUUUCUUCCUUCUUUCUCGUUUGUGUUUGUUGCCUGCAGUUCCAAGCAGGUGGGCUCUCAGUGUCUUGCAAGUGACACCUAGCAGCAGCAGGUCCAGCCAGGAGGCACAGCACCCUGCAACCUCCAGGUGAGUGACAGCAGGCAGGCAGGCAGGCCUUGGGGAUCUGCAGGGUCAUUGUGUGGAGCAUUAUGCCCAGGACCAGCUGAGUGUAAAGAUGAUGUCCGAGCUGCAGAGCUAAGCAUAACGGAGAGGCCCAGCGGCUCAGCUCGUUUCCCAGCGUAAGGCAGGAAAUUAGAGCCACGAGGGAUAUGCAGACGCUUUCUGCUUUUGUCUGUUGCCUCCCUCCUUCUGCCCCUGUCAGAGGGGAGGAACGAGCUGCACUUGCACAGAGACAUUGCUCUCACGGCCACUCCCCCCUCAGGUUGGAGCAUUCCUGGCUGCAGGAUGGGCAAACCUAAGUUCUUGCCUAAUUGUGUCAGUAAAGCUUAGAAAGGGACACAAACUAUGGCGUCUUGGCUCAUGAAGUGAGAGAGGGGAUGCUGUGCUAUUGGGCUGCAGCCAAGAGUCUGAGAGAGUCUGUGUUAUGUGAGAUUUGAGAGACAGUUCUGGGGAGUGUGGGAGCAGCGCAAAGGAAAUGCGAGGGUGCUUUUCCUUUCAGGGGCCUUUGUGCAGCAGCAGAUGUUGAUGCCCUAGAAGCACGGUGCGGAGCACAUCCUGGGAUCAAGGUGCCACGGACUGGAAAAUGCUGCUGUGGCGGAGUUCCUGUGUGAAGACAAAACUCCCAGUCCCCCAGAAAUGUGGAGGCAGAAGAGCAGUGACAAGGUAUCUACAUGUCUAUCUGUGUAUGUGCACAGCAGGCCCAGCUGCCCCUGCUUCCUCCCUCCCCGGGAUCUGCUCCUGCUGCUGCUGCUGCUGGAGUGUCCUCUGGCCACGGUGGCGUGGGGCGAGUUCUUUUGUCAAACAGGCUCUACCAUUUGUCAACCCAUUUUGACUGGGCCUGAUCCCCUGGUUGACCUUUAAUGAAUCCCAACAUUAUCCAUCCCGUAACCUACCCUGGCACCGAGGUAAGGUGCAGUCCAUCUGGCCCCGUGGACUCGGGCAUCCAGCUUUUGGAGCAGGUCCAAAACCAUCUCAUUGUGGAUUAUGCAUGGCCUAUUCGGGUCCCCAUUCCUAUCUACCAGCACAGGGGACUGUGUUCUCUGGAAGUAAUGAGUCUUGCUAUGAAAGACUGAGGCAACGAAGGCAUUAAGUACCUCAGCCUUGUCCUGAUCCUUGGUCACCAAGUUGCCCUCGGCAUCCAAGAAGGGAUGGAGAUUCUCCCUAGCCCUCCUCUUGCUGUAGAUGUAUUUACAGAAAUAUUUAUUGUUGUCCUUUACCUUGGUGGCCAAGCUCAGUUCUAGCUGGGCUUUGGCUUUUCUAAUUUUCUCCCUGCACAUAUUUGCUACGUACCUGUAAUCAUCAUAAGUAGCUUGCCCACUCUUCCACAGACCAUACUCUGUGGAAUCAGCUCCUGCACCUUUAGAAUUACUUCUGGAAAGUACUGCCAGCCUUCCUGGGCUCCCACGCCCUCCAAAAGUACUUCCCAAGGGACCCUCUCAACCAUGGUCCUAAAGAGGUUCAAGUUUGCUCUCCGGCAGUCCAAGGUGGCAGUUCUGCUGACUCCCCUCCGUGGUUCAACAAGGAUUGAGAAAUCUAGCAUCUCACGAUCCCUUUGCCCCAGGCGGCCUCCAGCCUUGACAUCCCCCACGAGACCUUCUCUGUUAACAAACAGCAGGAUUUUGCUUGCCCUUGCUGGCUGCCUCACCAGCUGUGUCAGGAAGUGAUCUCCCACACACUCGAGGAACCUCUGGGACUGUUCCCUAUCUGCUGUAUUAUAAAUCCAGCAGAUGUCUGGGACUUUGCAAUAGCCCACAAGAACAAGGGGAGAGACCUUGAGACCUCCUGCGGCUGUGUCUAAAGUGUCUUGCCCACCUCUUCAUCCUGGUUGGGUGGCCUGUAGCACACUCCCACGAUAAGGUCAGUCUUACUGGCCUUUGCUUUUCUUCUGACCUAGAAGCUCUCAACCCUAUCAUGGCCAUCGUUCAUUUGCAUACAUUCCCAUUCUUUCUUAACGUAGAGGGCUGCACCACUGCCUUUCCUGCCUUGCCUCUCUCUUUUGCAAAGUCGCUAGCCAUCCAUCACAGCACUCCAGCUGUGUGAGUCAUUCCACCACGUUUCUGUGAUUUUUCUCCUGUUUUUUGAUUCCAACAAAAGCCACGUAGGAUUAUUUUGAUUGUUAUUCUUUUUUUAAUGGCAGGCAUUGUGAUCAACUUAAAAAAGGAACGCAUGAAGAAUAGCUUUGUUUGCAUUCUGGUAACUGCUGAGGCUUUGGCUGAGGACAGCUUUCAGCUGCACCUGAACUAGGCUGGAUUUGUCUCCUGCUCUCCAUAGGUGAGUAUUUCUCUUGCAGACCUUUGAAUCAAUGAUUCCCCUGCUAUUUGUCUCUUCUGGUUGCUGGAGAGAAGAGCUCCAAUGUCACAUCCUGAUCCGUAAGGUGAUCAAGCUUGGUGAUUGUCAGUAAUUCAGGAUAUGCUUGCUUUUCUUGAAGUGAACUAAGGGAUAAGCUAUCAUGCUGUGCCAUUUCUUUUCCUGUGCGUAAUGCCAAGGGAUAGGGCUGCAGGUGCCUGCUGGUUCACGGGACAUGCCAGAGCUUUGUACACAGCUUAAGUGAUGGAAGAGGAAAGACUCCAGUAUGGUAACAACGUGAUUUCUAGUGUUUUGGUACGUAUAUUCAAGUCAGUAUGGGUCCAUUUCAGACAGCAUCGUCUCACAUCUGUUUGUUGUCUCGUAUCAAACGCAUUUUUACUCAUUUGGCUACAUACAUACUCCACCCAUAGUUUGCAUCUUGUCUUCUUAGGGUGAGGUUUGCCUGCUGAACAGCAAGACAAAAGGAGCUUAAAUUACAGAAGCAGAGAAGCAAAGACAGCUUAGAGGCUCAAUACAGUACGGAUCAGUUAGAGCAUUACUUGGAAGUUGUUGUGUUCUGGGUGUUAGGUGGGAUGAGACACGGGUGUGAAUGUUACAGCCAAGUGUUUUUCCCUUGUUCAUUGUCCCUGCUGCAUGCAGCCAGCUCUUCUUUUCCCUGCUCUGCUUUUCUUGUUGCAUGCUAUGCAUCGCA
rnacentral:lncRNA from 7 species